ACUCACUCCAUCCUGCCACCAUGUGAAGAAGGUACUUGCUUCUCCUUUGCCUUCUGCCAUGUUUGUAAGUUUCCUGAGGCCUCCCCAGCCGUGUGAACUGUGAGUCAAUUAAACUUCUUUAUAAAUUACCCAGUCUCAGGUAUUUCUUCAUAGCAGUGUGAGAAUGGACUAUUACAGUAAAUUGGUACUGGCUAGUGGGGUGCUGCUGUAAAGAUACCCUAAAACGUGGAAGUGACUUUGGAAGUGGGUAACAGGCAGAGAUUGGAACAGUUUGGAGGGCUCAGAAGAAGACAGGAAGAUGUGGGAAAGUUUGAGACUUCCUAGAGACUUGGAGAUCUCAGAAGACAGGGAGAUAUGGGAAAGUUUGGAACUUCCUAGAGACUUGUUGAAUGGCUUUGACCAACAUGCUGAUAAUGAUGUGGACAAUGAAGUCUAGGCUGAGGUGGCCUCAGAUGGAGAUGAGCAACUUGUUGGGAACUGGAUUACAGGUCACUCUUGCUAUGGAAAGAGACUGGCCGCAUUCUACCCCUGCCCUAGAGAUUUGUGGAACUUGGAAUUUGAGAGAGAUGAUUUAGGGAAUCUUGCAGAAGAAAUUUCUAAGUGCCAGAGCAUUCAAGAGGAAGCAGAGCAUAAAAGUUUGGAAAAUUUGCAGCCUAACAAUGUGAUAGAAAAGAAAACCCCAUGUUCUGGGGAGAAUUGCAAGCCACCUGCAGAAAGUUGUAUAAGUAUCAAGGAGUCAAAUAUUGAUCACCAAGACAAUGGGGGAAAAUGUCUCCAGGGCUUGUCAGAGACCUUCACAGCAGCCCCACCCAUCACAGGCCUGGAGGCCUAAGAAGGAAAAAUGGUUGUGUAGCCUGGGCCCAGGGACCCCUGCAGCCUUGAAACAUGGUGCUCUGCAUCCCAGCUGCUUCAGCUCCAGCUGUGGCUAAAAGAGGCCAACAUACAGCUCAGGACAUUGCUUCAGCGAGUGCAAGCCCCAAGCCCCAAGCCUUGGCAGCUUCCAUGUGGUGUUGGUCCUGUGGGUACACAGAAGUCAAGAACUGAGGUUUGGAAACCUCUGUCUAGACUUCAGAGGAUGUAUGGAAAUGCCUGGAUGUCUAGGCAGAAGUCUGCGCAGAGGCAGAGUCCUCAUGGAGAACCUCUGCUACAGCAGUGUGGAAGGAAAAUGUGGGGUCAGAGCCCUAACACAGAGUCCUCACUGGGGCACUGCCUCGUGGGGCUGUGAGAAGAAGGCCACCAUCCUGCAGACCCCAGAAUGGGAGGUCUACAUACAGCUUGCACUGUGUGCCUGGAAAAGCCACAGGCACUCAAUGGCAGCCCAUGAAAGCAGCUGUUAGGGAGGUUGUGCUUUGCAAAGCCACAGGGCAGAGCUGCCCAAGGCCACGUUGUGGGAGACCACCUUUUGUAUCAGUGUGACCUGGAUGUGAGUCAUGGAGUCAAAAGAGAUAAUUCUGGAACUUUAAAGUUUAAUGACUGCCCUGUGGAGUUUCAGACUUGCAUGGGGCCUCUAACCCCCUUGUUUUGGCCAAUUUCUCCCAUGUAGAAUGGAUGUAUUUACCGAAUGCCUAUGCCCCUAUUGUAUAUAGGAAGUCACUAACCUACUUUUGAUUUUACAGGCUCACAGGUGGAAGGGACUUACCUUGUCUCAGAAGAGACUUUGGACUUGGACUUUUGGGUUAAUGCUGAAUGACCUAAGACUUUGGGGGGCUGUUGGAGGGGCACGAUUGUGUUUUGAAAUGUGAGGACAUGAGAUUUGGCAGGGGCCAAGGGCAAAUUGAUAUGAUUUGGCUCUGUUUCCCCACCCAAAUCUCACCUGGAAUUGUAAUAAUCUCCACAUGUCAUGGGAGGUACUCAGUGGGAGGUAAUGAAAUCACAGAGGCAGUUACCCCUAUGCUGUGCCUGAGAUAGUGAAUGAGUUCUCAUGAGAUCUGAUGGUUUGUAAGGAACUUUUCCCUGUUUGCUCAGCACUUCUCUCUCCUGCCGCCAUGUGAAGAAGGACAUGUUUGCUUCCCCUUCUGCCAUGGUUGUAAGUUUCCUGAGGCCUCCCCAGCCAUGCUGAACUGAGUCAAUUAAACCUCUUUCCUUUAUAAAUUACCCAGUCUCAGGUAUGUCUUUAAUAGCAGUGUGAGAACAGACUAAUACACGCAGGUUCCAGUAAUGGGGUCUGUCCACUGGAGCGCCUCUGGCUCAGCCGUGGCAGACACAGUGGAGGCUAUGCUAGCAGAUAAGGAGGUUUCGGGGAUGGCAGUGGCAUCUAGAGCACUCCAUGAGCAAGUUGUCAAGUGUCUUGGAGACAAGUGGUAACCUAUUAGACCUGAGAGGGCAUUAUUAACUGUGCCCCAAAUGAAAACAUACUAAACGGACAAACCCCAAACAAAUAUCAGUAUCUGUCAGAGGCAGUGGCAAUGACCACUAUGCUAGGAAUGCAUUUUAAAAUUAGGGUGGGGAGGCUGUGUUGUUUGCAAUCCAGUGCUUAACUGGCUCAAAAUAGAGUUGGGAAUUUUUAGAGCUUUAAUAUGCUGGAUGAAAGAAAACAAGUGACAUGAUGACUGGAACCGCCACCACUGAAUUUUCUAAACUUUAAGAAAAGGCAAGAAAAUUGCUUUUAGAAGAAGAGACGUUGAGAAUAUGCCCCAGUGAAUCCUCCCCACCUGCAAUUAUGAGGUUUCCCCAUGCCCUCUUUUGGACUUGAUGGGGGUCAUUUGGGACAAUAAGGCCUGAUAACUCCUUGGACUUAGGAAGCGAGAGAGCAGGAAUCAAGAAAAGCUUUUGUGGUUUUUGGUUUGUGUAGAAAAUAUGAUGGAUUGAGGUAAAAUUUUUCAAAAUAGGCCCAAUGAAGAAGAGCAGAUUCAAGGAGUAAAGCUUUGGUAGGCAGCCUGAAAUUGCUCAUCAAGGAAAAAGACCAGACUCGGAUUUUAAAUGGCUUCUUCUGAAUGAAGCAAUUAAUGCUAAAAGGAACAUGUUGUCUUCUCAGCAUUUAUAAGGAUUAUUUAUGAGGAUGGCCUGUGCAAAAAGACACCCAGAGAUUUCAUGCUGUUGAUUCACAGAAAGCCUGUUACUGUUCACUCCGUAGAGUCCUCAGAGUCUGGAUCAUCCCUUACAGAAGAUCCUUGAUAAUAUUUCUGAUACACCUCCAAGCUCUCCUGGAGCAUGGGCCGCCAUGGCCCUUGCAUGGAAUCAUUGUACCAGAGCUGUCAGUAUUGUGCAAAGACGGCCUGGAGCGGGGAAGAAGACAUCUUCAAGAAAGGGACAGAGUAUUGGAAGUCAGGUCAAGGUAUUGCAAAAGAUACCACAGCAGGGAUGCGUCCUUCUCAGGCUGUGAUACCAGGGCCUUGUGUUAGGCAUUGUGAAGGAAAGAGAAAUGCACAAAAAAUCUCAUGGAGGCUGAUAAAUCAAAGAUAAUACUUAAGGUUCCAUUUGUCAAAUGUGUGUGACCCUUCCGAUAAGUCACCAAAGGUGAUGAGGGAGAGAGAGAAAGAAAGCAAAUUACAACUGUAAAGAGUCUCUGAACAGUGAAAGAUCAAAACAGACAGUCUCUGGCUUUACUGGAUGAGUCACCAUUGCAGCCCGACCGCAAAAACAAGCGUGGCUUCUGUACUUAGCAGCAGUCUUCCUGUCUGGAAAGGAAACAUUGCUCAGAUUGGAGAUACUGGCCAUUUUAUAGACUUCAAAGCAACUUAGGCAACUGAACUGUCAGGCGGGAAAACAGGAUGUCUUCCAUUUGGAAGCCCCUUUGCUUCUAAGAAGUUCCAGAGACCAGCCCAGGCCUACAGAGUUGUAAGGAUUCAUCUGGGUACUGAAGACAUUUGGGACCUCAGUGAAGUUUCUCCGAGGCCAGAUGGUCACAUUGAUUUUCUGGAAUCAUUUUGAAUAAAAAUGAGCGAGGUGGUGAACACAAUGCAAGGCUCUCCAC